rnacentral:tRNA from 1 species
GGGCCUGUAGCUCAGUCGGUUAGAGCAGCUCACUCAUAAUGAGCGGGUCGUUGGUUCGAGUCCAACCGGGCCCA